rnacentral:tRNA from 1 species
GAUUCAGUAGCUCAGCAGGUAGAGCACAUCCCUUUUAAGGAUGGGGUCAUGGGUUCGAGCCCCAUCUGGAUCA